UAAUUCUGGUUGAUCCUGCCAGAGGUUACUGCUAUCGAGAUUCGACUAAGCCAUGCGAGUUGAAUGUUCUUCGUGAACAUGGCGAACUGCUCAGUAACACGUGGACAACCUACCCUUUGGUCCGGCAUAAUCCUGGGAAACUGGGGAUAAUUCCGGAUAGGCCACAGAUGCUGGAAUGCAUUGUGGCUCAAAGCUCCGGCGCCAAAGGAUGGGUCUGCGGCCUAUCAGGGUUGUAGUGGGUGUAAUGUACCUACUAGCCUACGACGGGUACGGGUUGUGAGAGCAAGAGCCCGGAGAUGGAUUCUGAGACACGAAUCCAGGCCCUACGGGGUGCAGCAGGCGCGAAAACUUUACAAUGCGGGAAACCGUGAUAAGGGAAUCUCGAGUGCCAGCAUAUAAUGUUGGCUGUCUGGAUGCCUAAAAAGCAUCUGUUAGCAAGGGCCGGGCAAGACCGGUGCCAGCCGCCGCGGUAACACCGGCGGCCCGAGUGGUAACCGCUUUUAUUGGGUCUAAAGGGUCUGUAGCCGGCCAGGUAAGUCCCUUGGGAAAUCUGGCAGCUCAACUGUCAGGCUGCUAGGGGAUACUGUUUGGCUUGGGACCGGGAGAGGUGAGAGGUACCUUGGGGGUAGGGGUGAAAUCUUGUGA
rnacentral:rRNA from 1 species